UAGGGAAUCUUCCACAAUGGGCGGAAAGACCGUGAUGGAGCAACGCCGCGUGUGUGAUGAAGGGUUUCGGCUCGUAAACACUGUUGUAAGAGAAGAAUGACAUUGAGAGUAACUGUUCAAUGUGUGACGGUAUCUUACCAGAAAGGAACGGCUAAAUACGUACCAG
rnacentral:rRNA from 1 species